GGUCGAAAGGGGAAAUUCAAUCGGGUUUCGAUCGUUAGCGAUCGAUGGGCUAGUGACGGACGGCGUUCGCGUCGUCUGCGCAGUCCGUUUUUCGAACUGACGUCGAAUUCGUGCACUUUUCCCCUAGUAGGACGUUGCGAUCCGUUGGGUGUCGGUCUAAGGCCCGGGGUGGAGCCCACGUGAACGUUUCGGCGUAUUGCGUGGACCCUCGGUGUCCCGGCCGACUCGCUCGACGGUAUAACGAUGGCGCGGGGCCGCUACUUAGUUAGCGUUCGGCUCGUGGCAAGCGCGUUCGGUGUUUGACGGCGAUCGGACCUAGUGCCGAUCCUGUCCCCGGGCGACUGUUGGCUGCGAUGUUCUCGAACAGACCUCG
rnacentral:rRNA from 1 species